UGGGGAAUUUUGGACAAUGGGCGCAAGCCUGAUCCAGCCAUUCCGCGUGCAGGACGAAGGCCCUCGGGUUGUAAACUGCUUUUGUACGGAACGAAAAGCCUAGGGCUAAUACCUCUGGGUCAUGACGGUACCGUAAGAAUAAGCACCGGCUAACUACGUG
rnacentral:rRNA from 1 species